rnacentral:rRNA from 1 species
CGAACCCAUGAGAAGCCUCUUCGACGAGUCGAGUUGUUUGGGAAUGCACCUCUAAAUGGGUGGUAAAUUUCAUCUANAGCUAAAUAUUGGCUGGAGACCGAUAGCGCACAAGUAGAGUGAUCGAAAGAUGAAAAGCACUUUGGAAAGAGAGUUAAACAGUACGYGAAAUUGUUGAAAGGGAAGCGCUUGCAACCAGACCUGCCCGUAGGCGAUCACCCGCUGUUCUCAGCGGUGCACUCGUUCUGCGAUCGGGCCAGCAUCGGUUUCGGCGGCCGGAUAAAGGCCUUGGGAACGUAGCUUCCCUUCGGGGGAGUCUUAUAGCCCUCGGUGCAAUGCGGCCAGCCGGGACCGAGGACCGCGCUUCGGCUAGGAUGCUGGCGUAAUGGUUGUAAGCGACCCGUCUUGAAACACGGACCAAGGAGUCUAACAUCUACGCGAGUGUUUGGGUGUCAAMCCCAUGCGCGAAAUGAAAGUAAACGGAGGUGAGAACCCAUUUGGGCGCAUCAUCGACCGAUCCAGAUGUCUUCGGAUGGAUUUGAGUAUGAGCGUAGC